ACUGAUUAUAAAUACAUUGGUGUAUGUGUGUGGAGGGGGGGGAGGGGUUAGAUCCUGAAUUACAUAAACUUGGGCUAACAACAGGCCCAAUGCAUUACUCAAGAUAAGCUGUUUUGGGGAAAUAAGAGCUGAUGAAAGUUGGGCUCGAGAUUGAGCCCAAAUGAAGGACGGAAAUAGCUGAAGCCAAACGAAACUGGCCACAGCCUAGGUGGUCCCAUUUGGGCCAACUCCAAACCCCAAAUGCUUUGGCGAUGAUAAUUCAAACAUUAAGGUCCUAAUGAGGCCCUACUGACUAUAAUUGACAUAUAACAACAUGAUAUGCAUGUUCCAAAAAAUCACAACACCUAAACAACCAUAUUAUGCACUUUUAAUUCAUUAUUUUACUAUUAAUGUUAGCAGCAUACAUCUGGUAUUUAAAACUACUCAUUAAUUAUACUGAAUUUACAUGUACAACUAUCCUAACAAUACUGAGAUUCUAAGCAAUUAAAUUAAAAGUGUACAACAGUCAGAUAACACCCUUUCAAACGUACAUGAUACGUGAAUCAAGCAUCCCUUAGAUACGUAUAAAAACAAUCCACUUCCAAACACACACUAGUGGCCUUUUAGUAUGCUAAUUCAACAGUAAGAGUCCUCAAAAUGCCAAAGGCCUUACUUCACAAUCAUUUUUGUGUCCCUUUGUUCAUAAACAACAGUUGCAACCUUUUGUUCAAAUCACAGCUAUUAAAAGGAACAUAGAUGCUUAAGACCAGAUCCUAAACCAGACUUAAAGGUGGGAAACAAACAGUGAGAGAAAUGAGAAGAAACACAUAAAAGAAAGCUAAAACUAAUAAAGAGGCUAGAUGAACUUAAAAGAAACAUGUGAAUAAAAUUAAAAGGGCAACAUUUGUCAUUAGAUCUUCACAUUUCAAUUACAUAUUUCAAAUGGAAUACAUGCUUGCACUUCAGUGAUCAUUCAUGGUCCAAGAAGUACCUGGAUAUCAAAACAAAGCAAAAGGGAGUGAGGAUUUCAGCAAGAACAGAAGUAUGAGCAAAGCAGCAAGUCAACAUCAAUAUUCAGCCUCUUUAGACUAUCUUUACACCCAGAAAUCCAGAAAUCCCAAGAAAGUUUUAAGUUCUUACUAAAAGAGAAAUCAGGGAACAAUUCCAACCAAUUUUCAAUGAAAGUAAUGCAGAAACUUUUUUGUAUUUUCCAGGGUUCUGAAUCUCUGCCUAAGGAGUGAGGGAGGGGUCCUACUUAUAGGCAACUCAAGUGCUAUGUGCUCAAAAACACAAAAAGAAUUAUUCCCUUACACAAGCAUCUUUUAACAGAAUUAGGACAGCUGGCAGCUUUUGAUUGGUUUUAGCAUUUGUGCUGGCCAAAAUUGAGUCAGCUGCCCCAAAUUCUAGAAGCUUCUAACACUAAACUUAUCUGAAAGUCCUAUUUCUAUUUUCCAAAUUAACCCCUAAGUUUUCAUUUGUUCAAUUAAGACCCUAGGAGUGUUUAACAAUUACAAAUCCUAACAAAUAAAAUAAAGCAGGCAAAUAUGAGUAUAACCAAUCAAACAGUAAACAACACUGAAAGGGUGAACAUCUGGACUCUUAAAACAAAUAAUAAAGAAUUUAAUUUCAUGAUAAACUUCAAAAAUCCAGUUUUAACGGCUAGUGACAAACUUAACUCUAAGAGACGAACAAUGAAAGAUGAAUGGAUACUGAGCAUUUAACAAAUUGAAUCAUAAAACCCUAAACUCUAAAUCAUGCAAUUAAAAUAAAGGAAAAAGAAAUAGAAAAUCAAGAAGAACUAGAAUAAAAACAGAACUCAUGAUAAAUCUAACCUAAACAACUAAGAAACUAACAUAAGCAAGUAUAUGGUAAAACAAAUAACGCCCAAUUAAUUCAAACAAGUGGACAAUAACAACUAAUUGGAACAAAUAAAUACUUAAACAAAUUCGGACCAGUAAACAAUUAGAAUUACAAGAAAAUAAAAAAAAACAGAAUCAAAGAACAAAACCAAAGAGGAAGAGGUGAAGUACUGGCUAACCGGAAAGAGCUUGGUGACUGAAUUGAACCAACGAACAAAGGAGGGCAAAGAACUCGGCGGGGUACAGUGGUUUGGUCAAGCAACUGUGACUCUCGAUACAAGCCAAAACUCGUAUUAGUCAAGGGUUCUCAACGAGAACGAUUGCUUAACACGAGUCUUGAGUCAAAUCGAGCUCUGGGAGGCAAAGAAUCAGAAUUAGAAGAAUUAGGAUUUUCUUCCAAUUCUCAGAUAUAAAAUUCGGGAAAUUUGAGGGUAUUUUUGGGGAAAUUGAUGAUGGAUUUAGGAAGAGGGGGGGACAGGGGUUGCUUGGUAUCAAUCUAAGGAAGUUUGGAGCAACUAGGGUUUGGGGUUUGAUUCUUAGAUCUAAAAUUGGAGGAUUUGGAUGGGGAUUUUGGAGAAGUGGUUUCGGAUUUGGCAAGGGGAGUGAAAGGUGGUUGCCUGGUAAAGAUUUGGGGAAGUUUGAAGCACCGGAACAGCCGUGAGGCGAUUUCCGGUGGGCGGUUGGCGACGAAGAUGGCAGAGAGUUUUAGGGCGGCUAGGAUUUGGCUAGGUUUUGGGUGAGAGACUGUAAAGAAGGGGUUCGAAUGGGGGGAGGAUGAAGGGUUUCAGACAGUUAUAUGCUAAGUCAAGGCUAGUUCCCAGCCGUUGGAUCACAUGAGAUCAACGGCUGGGAUUCAAUGGAUCAGAAACGAGGUCGUUUGGCUUUAGUGGGGCGGGCCGGACCGGGUAAAGUAUAUUAGGUUUGGGUCUGAGGCCGAAUUGGGGUGGGAUUUGGGCUUAGCAUCAAUUUUGGCCCAAUUGAAUUUAAAACAACCCUUUUCAAUUUCCCUUUUUUUUCUUUUUGUUUUCUUUUCUUUCUUUUGAUUAACUAAAAACCUAAAUUAAAUUCCUAAAUUAAUUUAAAUUGUAAAAUUAAGCUAAUUAUCUAACUAUAAAAUUUAUAAAAAUUAGUUGAUCCUAAAUUAAGAGAGAAAAAUUAAUAAUCCGAAAUUAGAAACUAAGAAUGUAAAAAUGAGCCAUUUUUUGUGAUUUUUAUUUUUAAUAAAGCAAUUAAUUAAUUAACUAAUCCUAAAAUGUGAACACAAAAUCUAAAUGCAAUGUAUGGUAUUUUUUCAUGAUUGUAAUAAGAGUAAACAUGCACAGAAAUACAAACAAUUAAUAAAAAUCUUAAAAAAUUGCAAACAAUUUUAAAAAAAUCUAUUUCUUUAAUUUGUAGGAGUGUUUCACAUAAGACAAAAAUCAGGUGCUCACAUAAAGUAAAUAUGAAUUUAAAACCUUAAAGCGAUUGUGCAAAAUUUUGUGUGUUCCUUUGCUUCUGUUUGGCAUAUCCAUGGAAUCUAGCUUCUCCGCCGCAAGCACCGCUAUCAAGUCCACCUUCUCAGCUUCUCUAACUAAUAUUUUCUCUAGCUAUUAAAAUUUUUAAGGUUAUGGGUAAUGGAUUAAGCAUUUGUUGGGCUGGGAUCG
rnacentral:lncRNA from 1 species